UGCCACGUGAACACGAAGAACCUGCUGUGU
rnacentral:piRNA from 1 species